rnacentral:misc_RNA from 1 species
GCAAAGUGUGUCAAAAUGGCGGCUAAUUCUCUCAAAAACUGCCGGCGGUCACCUUGAACAAGGGAGACUGUAAUAUGACCCUGAAGAUAUUUUAACAGUUCUAGUGAUACCCUUGUCAUGGUCAGAGGUCACAUGGCUCGGAAAAGUUUGACUUUCAGCUGCAGAACACCAAGGUCGUAUAUAGGUUUUUAUCUUACGUACUAAGAGGAAAAGUGAACUAUAUGGAGACGUUGCAACAAUAGGAUUUAUUAUAUCUGAAGAAUCUCAAACUAUUAUCAAAGGUCGCCGGGAGAUGAAAUGAGCCCGUCAUUAAAAUGCUAUAUCAUUAACUGUUAAAAUAGUACCAAAGUUGUAGCAAUUAUUCAUAUUUCGAUAGUUAUGAAAUGUAAGUACUAAAUUGCUGUGAACUCGCAAAGUACAGACGACUAUUGUUGAAAAAAAAUGCAUAUUAUAUGUUGCCUCUAAAAAGUUCAAGCACCUACAAUUAAAUACAGUAGGAGGUCAUCGAGUUUGCGUAACUGUAUACAUGUAGUAGUUUAGGAGUUAGUACAUUAUGUCAGACAGUGUUUUAUUUAUUGAUAAGAAACUUAUCACACAGUAUUCAUAUUUUAUGAUUUAACUGCCGUGCAAGGCUUUUAGAUUUGGUAUAUACAUGUAUUCAACCAUUGAAUAUUUGUUUUGAUAUAAAAUAUUUUUCAGAAUAAAUUAUUUUAUAUUUUAUCGCUAAAAUGUGCUGUUGUGAUAAUUAUGCAUGUAAAUGAAACAAUUACGAAAAAAAAAAUAAAUACAAAUC